UAGGGAAUCUUCCGCAAUGGACGCAAGUCUGACGGAGCAACGCCGCGUGAGUGAAGAAGGAUUUCGGUUCGUAAAACUCUGUUGUUAGAGAAGAACAGCGCAUAGAGUAACUGUUAUGCGUGUGACGGUAUCUAACCAGAAAGCCACGGCUAACUACGUGCCAGCAGCCGCGGUAAUACGUAGGGCGCAAGCGUUAUCCGGAAUUAUUGGGCGUAAAGCGAGCGCAGGCGGUUAGAAAAGUCUGAAGUGAAAGGCAGUGGCUCAACCAUUGUAGGCUUUGGAAACUGUUUAACUUGAGUGCAGAAGGGGAGAGUGGAAUUCCAUGUGUAGCGGUGAAAUGCGUAGAUAUAUGGAGGAACACCGGUGGCGAAAGCGGCUCUCUGGUCUGUAACUGACGCUGAGGCUCGAAAGCGUGGGGAGCGAACAGG
rnacentral:rRNA from 1 species